rnacentral:lncRNA from 1 species
GCAUCUGCUCCAGAUCCGGCGGAGGCGCUGGCCAGCUCUCCGCCGCCGCCCCGACGCCACACACUCUCCAGGAGCUCCAGGACACCACCCUCGGAUCGCUUCUCUCGGCGCUAAUGCAGCACUGCGAUCCACCCCAGCGGAGGUACCCGCUGGAGAAAGGGGUGGCGCCGCCGUGGUGGCCGAGCGGCGACGAGGAGUGGUGGCCCGAGCUUGGGCUUCCAAAGGGGC